UACAUGGGGUGCAAACGUUGCUCGGAAUUAUUGGGCGUAAAGCGCGCGUAGGCGGUUACUUAAGUCGGAUGUGAAAGCCCUUGGCUCAACUGAGGAAGUGCACCCGAAACUGAGUGGCUUGAGUACCAAAGAGGGUCGCGGAAUUCCCGGUGUAGAGGUGAAAUUCGUAGAUAUCGGGAGGAACACCGGUGGCGAAGGCGGCGACCUGGGUGGAUACUGACGCUGAGGCGCGAAAGCGUGGGGAGCAAACAGG
rnacentral:rRNA from 1 species